ACAACAUCGGCGUCUCUCGAAAUUCUUGUCUCUCGGGAUUCUUUUCUUUCACAUCAUCGUAGUUUUGUUGCUCCGGUAGCCACUGUCUGAGACAAGUAAGAAGAGAAACAUCAUUGUGGAGGAGAUAGCAACAUUAAUGGCAUUAUCCACCUCAAAAUUGUUUUCUUGCAUAGACUCUUAUACUACUACUCAUCUUGUUCUUUAUUGUGAACCAAAAAAUUGCUUUGUGUAAUUAGCUUAUUAAUUUACAUGCAUAUGUUUUGGUUAAUUUGAGAAUAUAUAUCUUUAUUUUAUGUUUAGUUGUUGUUGGAACCCAUUCUGAGUUAUGUCUAUAAAUAUUGGUGAGAUUUUAUAUCCAUUUUAAUCAGUUUAACAAUUUUUUUUUUCAUAUUGAUUUCUGCAUUGUGUUGUUGUUAGCCAAAUUAUGAUUUAGGAUCAUAUAUAUUGUUACAUGCAUUUGGUUAUAUAUCAUUGUUGAUUUGAAUGUAAAUUUUUACAAUCAAUUGGGUCCUAAUGAAUUGUAGUUGUAGUUUUGAAACCAUAUUAUGAAAGGAUAAAAUCUUAAUCUAAAAGGUUAAAAGAUAAUUCUUUCAUUAUAUGAUUUACAAAAUUGAAAUUACAAACCAUUAGUAACAUGUUUCGCCCCAAUUAGUUAUAAAAAUAUUACAUAAUUAGAGUUAAUCCAUCAUGAUAUUUAUUUAAAACAUGUGACUGUAUACAUAGUUAACAACAUAGUGCAUUAUUGAAUAUAAAAAAAAUGUGAUGUAUAGAUUAAAAUGAACAUUGAAUCUCACCAAUGCAUAUAACCAUCCAUGAACAAUAAGACUUGAAAUUAUGAUAUAAUGUGGUUCAGUUUAACCAAUAUAUGAAUGUACUUUUAGUACACUAAUAACCCAAUAAUUAAUUCAAUUCAUACCUAACAAUGUGAGCCCUCAUAUAUAAGUUAAUGUUAGAAUGUAAAUUUUCACACUAAUUUUACUUAAACAUCAUUUAAGAGAAUUUUAACCUCUGAACACUGUUCUUUGUCUUCUUCUGAUCUGUCAAAACAAAAUUGGCAUGCAAAAGACCAAUGCAUGGCUGUCUGAGAUGCAUUCUCUGCCUUUUCAGGAAAUAAUUAAAAAGAAAAUUUGUCAUUUUCUGGUUUCAAAGAAUUAUUGUUUCGAAAAGUAUUCCAGUUACAGCUGUGAUGCACCAAAGGAAAUCCUCAAGCAACCACAGAGAAAAAAGAGAAUAUCAUUCUACAAUUACAUUUAUCAUUUUAUAUUGUUUGUCUGUUAUUUGAAAACUUUAAAGUAACAAAUAAAAUGAAUAAAUUUUGCUUAAAAAUAACAGGAAAAACUAGAAACUAUUUAUUUUGUGAUUAUAUUGACAGGUUCUUCUUGGGACUUAUGGUAUCUCCGAACUUAUACACAGAUAAAGACAGAGGUGCAAGGUUGAAACGAAUGAAGAAAUGACAGAAACUGAUUCAUGCUGCUUGAAUACACAUGGAAAUAUAAUAUUUGAGUUUGAUCUGAGUGUAUGUACAAAUGGCAGCCAUGCAAAAGGGUGAGAUUCAAAUUCAUCAAGGCUUCUGUUGUGCAACACAGUAAAUGCAGCUGAGAUGUAUUAUUAGAGUGAAGAGCCUCAAUCACAGAUAUUAUGUUAAGCUUCCAAUCCUGAGCUUAGUUAUUUUAAAUGAGAAUUACAAUCUUACAAUCACAUUCAGACAUUGUUGAGGUUACAGUUUUUAUUUUUAUUAUUAACAGUAACUUGUAAUAACAUUUUACAGCUGUAAAUAAUUUGAAUUUCAUGGAA